GUUUGACAAUAUAACUAAAGAAGAUUUUUUUUACACUUUUUGAAAAGUUUUACUUGCUUGAUUUACUUCCAAACAAACAAGGCCUUAGACAUGUAUAUUUUUAGCCUGUCAAGGUUUUGAUUGAUGAUCAUCAUCAUAUAUGGAUAAAAAAUAUAUAUGAAACAGGCUCAAGAUUGUUUCCUUCAUUGCAUAUGGCUAUGUACAAGCACGAAAAAAAUACAAAAUUGAAGGAAAUUAAACAAUUUUAGCCUAUCUUCCAAGGAAGGCAUUGAAGCUUAUGGCAAGAUCCCUUCUUCCAUGUUCUUGUACAUUCACCUUGGCCGCCAUCACAGCACUUGCAAACAACUCCCAGAGUAGCAAAAAUCUUCGAAUGGUUUUGUUCAGCUAGGAAAGAAAGCGUUCUUGCUUCUGUGAUUCUUGGUUUCUGGGGGAAGGAAAUUGAGAGUACAAGAAGUAGAAAAAGCAGAGGAGACUUAGAAAACAUACCCAUAUUCUUCUGUUUCUGAGAAGCAAGUGGGUAUGAUGUCUUAGAUUUAUAUAUGCCAAUCUACUAAGAAAAAUCAAGGCAAGUGGGUGCUGAGGGUUUUGGAGGUAUACAAAAA
rnacentral:misc_RNA from 1 species